rnacentral:rRNA from 1 species
UAGGGAAUCUUCCGCAAUGGACGCAAGUCUGACGGAGCAACGCCGCGUGAGUGAAGAAGGAUUUCGGUUCGUAAAACUCUGUUGUUAGAGAAGAACAGCGCAUAGAGUAACUGUUAUGCGUGUGACGGUAUCUAACCAGAAAGCCACGGCUAACUACGUGCCAGCAGCCGCGGUAAUACGUAGGUGGCAAGCGUUGUCCGGAUUUAUUGGGCGUAAAGCGAGCGCAGGCGGUCAAUUAAGUCUGAUGUGAAAGCCCCCGGCUCAACCGGGGAGGGUCAUUGGAAACUGGUUGACUUGAGUGCAGAAGAGGAGAGUGGAAUUCCAUGUGUAGCGGUGAAAUGCAUAGAUAUAUGGAGGAACACCAGUGGCGAAGGCGACUCUCUGGUCUGUAACUGACGCUGAGGCUCGAAAGCGUGGGUAGCAAACAGG